rnacentral:rRNA from 1 species
GCAGGCUGCAACUCGCCUGCAUGAAGUUGGAAUUGCCNGUAAUCGCGAAUCAGAAUGUCGCGGUGAAUACGUUCCCGGGCCUUGUACACACCGCCCGUCACACCAUGAGAGUCGAUAACACCCGAAGCCUGUGAGCUAACCGUAAGGAGGCAGCAGUCGAAGGUGGGGUUGAUGAUUGGGGUGAAGUCGUAACAAGGUAUC